AGAGCGGAAUAAGCAAAGAUAUGAGAUAGGUAAAAACGUAUAAAAUUUAUUUGAAUAAUGAACCAUUUUGAAUCAGUUACCCAACUUUUAAAAAAUUUAUUUUACUAUUUAACUUUUUAAUUUAUUUGAUUUAAGUCAGUAAAUGAUACUUUUAUUUUAAAACUAUAUAAGAUAUACUAACUAGAUUUGUCAAAAUAAAAUAAACGACAUAUUCAAAAUUUAAAGUUAAAUUGUUAUUGACCGAUUAAAAUUGAAUAAACUGAAAGUUUAGAUAGUAAAAUUAAAAUAGGAUAAUUAUCUAUAUACCCCUCAAAACUUUGAAAAUAUAUAAUUUAUCAUUUUUUUUUUCUUUCUAAUAUACUACUCAUAUGUUUCUCCAUUAUUCCAAAACACUCUUAUAAUUGCUACCCGUUAAGUUAAUUUGAGUUAAACGUAAGUUAAAUAUCUAGCAGAAUUAAAAAAAUCAAAACACCUUUAUUGCUCUUAACUUAAGAGUAAAUAAGAUAUGUUGGUGAUGGUGGAAGAAUGUGUUUGAAAAGACGAAAAAAUCAAAAUAUUUUUUCUGCCCCUAACUUAAGGGCAAAUAAAAAAAAUUCAGUGAUGGUACGAGAAUAUAUUUGAAAGGGUAAAAUAGUAAUUUUAUAAAGAUAACGACUACUAUUAACCGUUCAUCAACAGAAUUUAACUCUUGAAGUAUAUUUGAAAUAUAUUGGAACAUAAAAAAACAUUUUCAAUAUUAGCCUUUUAAGAGGAGGUAAAUUAGAAAAUUGAAAAUUUUACAGGAAUAUAUAAGCAAUUAUCCCGAUUUAAAUUGUAAAAGGUCCAAUAUUCAAAUAAAAAAUAGUAAGUGGUUCAGAUAAAUUUUAUAUAUUUUUAUUUUAACCAAAAGAUGU
rnacentral:lncRNA from 1 species